rnacentral:lncRNA from 1 species
CCCAUUAGACUUCCCCUAAUCAAAUUAGAAAUUAUCUAAUUUUCUAAUAAAGUUUUCCCCAGGCACAAGGAAUCUGUGAACUGGACCUAAAAAAUUCUUCGUAAUGUGCUUUUAUUACCAUAAAAGAUGCACAUUUAUUUUAAAAACUUCUCUACACCACUAUCAUAAACCUUUGCACACACUUAUUUCUUUUGGAAACUAACUUCUGAGUGGUAAUGAAAUAUAUUCUUAAGAAAAAAGUCCGACACAAUGCCUUUGCGUCUUAAAAUAUGUUAAAAUAUUAUUUGAAAAGAGUCAAACAUCUGUCUUUUCAGGGUAUCACAGGGCGUCAAACUGGAAAAUGUGGCACUGCCUGGAGUUUCUACCUGGUGAAGGGUGGCAGACUUUUCUCUUCAGAGGACUCUUGACAGGGUAGCAUCCAUUAUCUUGCCAAUUUACUACAACCUAGGCCCAAUCCUCAGUCUUAUAGGUUCAGAAAUUUAUUUUUAUCAGCAUCAACAGGGUAGCUACAUUGCUUAGAAGCAAACAAAAUUAACCAUGCUUCAAUAGAAAUCAGGAUAUAGAUGUAUUAAUACAGAAUGACAAAUAUAACUGUGACAGAAAUAGGAAUGCCUGUUUAUGGUCAUAUACGGCCAAUACUUUCAUUACAGCCAAACUCAUACAUGCAGCCAAAUAAGAGGCCCCUGGAUACACAGGGAAUCAGAAUAAAAAAAGAAGAACUGAACAUUUAAUAGUCUUCUUUCAUUCAAUCAAUAAUUUUUUUUAAUUAAGCAACUACUAUGUCCGGGUAACCUUCUAGGUCCUGGGGAUACAGAGGUCUCUGCUUACAGAAGUCAUAUGUAAGUAGCAGGUGAAGAGUAUGUGUUUCACAGAAGUUUAUUACAAUAUAUUAACAAGAGCAAAAAAUUUUGGAAGCAAUCUAAAUGUUCAAUAAUAGAGCUCCAAUUAAAUAACAAUAAAUCCAAAUAAUGAAAAAUAAUGCAGCCCUUUAAGAAUAAGCACUUGCAAGCCGUAAUUCAUGACAUGGGAAAAUUAUCAUAAUGGAAAAAGAAGCAAGCUAUAUAUAGUGCAUGAUCCUAUACACACACAUACAUACAUACAUAUUUCCUAUCCCUUUAUAUGCAUAAGAAAACAAGCGGGAGGAAAGUCAUAUCUUUAGUCAAGUCUUGUUUACUAACGUACUAUUAAUGAUUAUCUUUUCUUUUUCUUUAUACUUUUUGCAUUUUUCAAUUUCCUAAAAUAGCCUUACAUGCCUUUUAUCACCAGGAGAAAAAUUACUUCUAAAGUAAUUUCAGUCAACAUGCAUACUAAGAACUCUUCAGAUUUAUCUGUUAGAAGCUGUGCAUGAAUGCCAGUCCUUGCAUCUGUCUUGGAACUCACAGAGAGCUCUUUUCCCAUGGCUUUAAGCAAUACUCAAAAAGACUAGCAUACCUGAAUUUCCUAGUCCUAUGUUUUUUUCAUCCAACAGCCAGUCUUGUAUUUCUAGCUGUUUUCUAAACAUUUCAACCAAACCAUUUUACAGAUAACUCAUACAGUCAUCCUUUGAUAUGCAUGGGGAAUUGGUUCCAGGAUCCCCCUUGUAUACCAAAAUCUAUGGAUGCUCAAGUUACUGGUAUAAAAUAGUGUAGUAUUUGCAUAUAACCUGCACACAUCCUCCUAUAUACUUUAAAUCAUCUCUAGAUUACUUAAUAACAAUUAAUACGAUGUAAAUGCUAUGUAAAUAGUUGGUAUACCAUGUUGUUUUUUAUUUGUAUCAUUUUUUAUCAUUGUAUUGUUUUUUCUGACAAUUUUGUUCCACAGUUGUUUGAAUCGGUGGAUGCAGAACCCAUGAAUAUGGAGAGUCAAUUGCAUUUUAUUAUGCCCAAAGGUUCAUUAUACACCAUGGAAUACUAUGCAGCCAUAAAAAAUGAUGAGUUCAUGUCCUUACUAGGGACAUGGAUGAAGCUGGAAACCAUCAUUCUCAGCAAACUAUCACAAGGACAAAAAACCAAACACCGCAUGUUCUCACUCAUAGGUGGGAAUUGAACAAUGAGAACACUUGGACACAGGAAGGGGAACAUCACACACCAGGGCCUGUUGUGGGGUGGGGGGAGGGGGGAGAGAUAGCAUUAGGAGAUAUGCCUAACAUAAAUGAUGAGUUAAUGGGUGCAGCACACCAACAUGGCACACGUAUACAUAUGCAACAAACCUGCACAUUGUUCAUGUGUACCCUAGAAUUUAAAGUAUAAAAAAAAUAAAAAAAUAAAGAAAGAAAUAGAUGUUCUGUAAAAAUAUACACAAUUUUUACAAAUACAUUUAUAAGUUGUUUUAUCUUGAAAAUUGGGGAUAUUUCAUAUUUAUAACUAACUAUUGAGCCUUAAGUUUUCUUGGCCAUUUCUAGGCUAAUAAACUAAGAAUCAUGUAAACUAAGCCAAAGUAGAAUAGACAUAAAAGUCCUGAACACUUCAACUUCCUAUCCUUCAAGAAGUAUACCUCGCAAAGCUCAUUUGAGAGAGGAAAAGCUUUCCUCCACCCUCAGUUUUACAGUGCUGAGGCUUCUCAUCACAUUUCUAUGACUUGUAGCUUAAAUCCAUGUUACAUGGUCACUGGCAUUGUUAGUGCUUCUCUUUUAACACUGUAGGAAUUAAUCAAUUUGGUGGCAUAUUUAAUUAAUUCUAUCACUAGAGGAUUGUAAAAUUACAUAUAUGAAUACCUCACUUUAGAGGCCACUUAAUUUUUUUCCAAGGGGAUAUUUGACUAUAUUUCACUUGUGUGUUAUUUAAUGAUUUUAUAAUUUAAACCCUAAAUUAUAAAUCUAGAAUUUAGAAAGUAUAUUUCCCCACUGGAUUACAUUUUUGGAAAUAUUACUUUAUAUGUGCACAAAUAUUACAAAAUCACUGUAGACACCUGAAAACUAUAUUAUCUUUUAAAGACAAUAUUUACAUUAAACUGGUAUAACAAAAUUGUUUGGUGCAUUUUUUCCAGUACAUUUUGUGUAUAUUACAUGUUUAACCUUUUUUUAUUCAGCAAAUAAUUUUUGAGUAUCUACUAAGUGCUAGGUUCUGCAUUACUAACUGAAUUUAAAGAGUGAAAUAACAGACAUGGUCUCAGACAAUAAAAAUUAACAUUAGGUCACUUAUUUAUAUAUUUUUAAAUGGUAAUUAUGAAAACUUUUUGAGAUUUUUAACUAGAUAACAUUAUAAUAACGCACUUGAUGUUGUUAAUAUUUGCCAGUGAGCAAAAAAGAAAAUAAAAAGAUGGUUUUAUUCAAUAUACACUUUAAAAUUGCAGAAAAUAGUCAAGUUUCUCUGCUUUGCAGUUGAAUGUCUAUGUGUUUUUCUCUGCAACUUGGCUUUUGUGGAGUGAAACAAUUAUUCUUCCAGCCCAAUGAAGGCAGAAGAGUAACAAUAAAUCUAAUAUUUUAAAUGCUUAUCAAAAGAUAGUAAACACAUUAUUUCAGAAUACUGAGUUCAAUAAGUUGACCUACAAAAAAAGCCAAACUGACAGUAUUACUGAAUAAGGAAAGGCCCAAAGAGACAAAAUACUUUUUAUUUUGUAACCUCGGUAUGACACAACUUACCCUAACUAUAAAGACCCUAAAUUACCAAGAUGGGUGCUUAUAAUAUGGAGAGUUACAAAGUCAUUUCACUUUUAGCUUUUUUAUUUCUCUCAGAAUAAAAAGUGUAUAAGGAGUUGAUAAAGAAGUUGAUACUAUAAGUUAGUACUACAAUGACAGCACUUUUCAAGAAAAGACUUUUUUCUCUCUUACAAAUAUCAUGUUAGCAGUAUUUGUUUUCUCCAGAAAUAAUGAGUAAAUAAAAACAUAAGUAUGUGGGUAAUUAGUGUAGUUUCUUAAAUAAAUGAGUUAGGCAACAGGCUAAUAAUGUAUAUUUCACUGGCUUUUCAAUGCCAACAAUCAUAUUCUUUAUAAGGCACAGAGAAGAUUUUUCUAAAGAAUAAGUAUGUGAACCUGAAAAGUAAUCACCACUUGGUAGUGACAAUAUGGAUAGGGUGAAGGGCAUCACCAAGAAGCAAUGAAAAGAUACAUUUGCAGUUAAAUUUGAAAACCAUGAUGUUUAAUACAUAUAGUAAUAAAGAAUACUUUCUCCUGUCUCAAAAUUAUUUUAGAAUUUAAGAUAGAAGCUAAAAUACCUAGGGAUAAUGAUAUGACUAUCAAAAAUUAAAAAUUAAAGGAUAUUUUGAGUAUUAUAAAUUAAGAAUGAGAACUUAUUACCCAAUGAACAGGGGAUAAUUCAUUAUGCUCCAUAUCCAUUGAAUUAAAAGACAGGCCCAUUACCUGGAUAAUUUGAAAGUUUAAUUUUAUUUAAAAGUCUUGUUUCAUUCAUCAAGCUGAAGGAUUAGCUCCCAGAAAUAUUCCAGGAUUGCAUAUCCCCAACUCUGUAGGAAGUAUAGAAAGAAUGUUAUAAGGGCCACCAUCUAAACAUUAUUAUAUAAAUAAUUUAGUACCAUUCCAUUUGCCUUUGUAGAUUUAAAAAUGUAAAUGGCUUUCUCAUAUUAGGAAACAUCACUUUUCAAAACCCAGGUAAACACAGUAUAUUGCAAGAGAAUAAUUAUUUUCUUUAUUAAAAAAGAAAUACUGGAUGCUAAGUCCAAAAGACAUAAAUUAUUUUAUACUAAUAACUACUAAUAUUUUAUUCAUUAAAAUAUAAAGGUCAAAGAUUUCAAAAUGAUCUUUAAAUGAUUAAUAACAUGUUGAUCUUUUUCUUCUUUCUGUAAACCUUUUUGAGUCUUAACAACACUAAACUAUGCAAGCAAUAUUAAAUAGUAUAUAAACUUGGAUUAAAAUAUUCAAAUUUACUAGAAUGUGGACAUUGGAAAGAAUGAAAAUAAACAGAAGCAAAAAGCAGCAGAUAUAAAAUUAAGAAAGCAACUAAGAGUGUUUAAAGUGCAUAUUCAUCUGUAGUCUAAUGUCUACCAUAAACAAUGACUCUUCUCAGUAAAACACAAAUUGUUCAUGAAGGGAAAAAGCAUGUUGUAUUAGAGCAUAUUCAACAUAAUUUUUUUAGUACUAACUUGUGCCUGGAGUAUUAUUGGUUUUUCUAUUAAGAACUUAUGCACUUGAUAAUUUUUUUCAUCAAAAUUGUAUGUACAACUCCAUUCAAAAGCAGUUUUUGGUCGUUUUUUUUUUUUUUUUUUUGAGACAGAGUUUUGCUCUUUUCACCCAGGCUGGAGGGCAAUGGUGAGAAUUUGGCUCACAGCAACCUAGCAACUUUUGCCUCCCAGGUUCAGGUGAUUCUCUUGCCUCAGCCUCUCGAGUGGUUAGGACUACAAGC